GCUCCAACCAACUUUGUUACAGAGGCCAGCUGCUAAGCUGUAACGCAUGUACAUGAACUUGCGGUUACAGCUUAGCAGCUGGCCUCUGUAGCUCAGUUGGU